UACGUAGGGCGCAAGCGUUGUCCGGAAUUAUUGGGCGUGAAGAGCUCGUAGGCGGUUUGUCGCGUCUGCUGUGAAAACCUAAGGCUCAACCUUGGGCUUGCAGUGGGUACGGGCAGACUAGAGUGCGGUAGGGGUGACUGGAAUUCCUGGUGUAGCGGUGGAAUGCGCAGAUAUCAGGAGGAACACCGAUGGCGAGGGCAGGUCACUGGGCCGCAACUGACGCUGAGGAGCGAAAGCAUGGGGAGCGAACAGG
rnacentral:rRNA from 1 species